rfam:Oryza nivara chromosome 4, whole genome shotgun sequence.
GAUAUCAACUGAAAAAGUCAUCAACAACAAAGUUGAAUAACUCAUCAAGAUCUAAAACUUUUAUUUUGGUCAUUUCUUCAUACGACAAAGUGAUAGUAACAUUGUUCACAAAAUUGACAUAUCUCUUAUCUGGUUUUAUAAACUAUAACACAUAUAUGUAAAAUUUGUUAAUAAUAUUACUAACAUUUCGUCGGAUAAAGAAAUAACAAAAAUAAAAGUUUUAGAUCUUGAUGAGUUAUUCAACUUUGUUGUUGAUGACUUUUUCAAUUGAAAUC